UCUCCGUUGGUGAACCAGCGGAGGGAUCAUUACCGAGUGCAAACUCAUAACCCUUUGUGAACCUAUAUCUGUUGCUUCGGCGGCUCGCUCUCGGGCGAGCCCGCCGGUAAUAUCAGUAUCUCUGUUUGAACCCGACGAUACUUCUGAGUGUUCUUAGCGAACAGUUAAAACUUUUAACAACGGAUCUCUUGGCUCUAGCAUCGAUGAAGAACGCGC
rnacentral:misc_RNA from 1 species